rnacentral:rRNA from 1 species
GACGUAGGGGGCCAGCGUUGUUCGGAAUUACUGGGUGUAAAGGGUUCGUAGGCGGUGCGGCAAGUCGGGAGUGAAAUCUCUGGGCUCAAUCCAGAGGCUGCUUCCGAAACUGCUGUGCUUGAGUGUGGGAGAGGCGCGUGGAAUUGCAGGUGUAGCGGUGAAAUGCGUAGAUAUCAGGAGGAACACCGGUGGUGUAGACGGCUUUCUGGACCGUAACUGACGCUGAGACACGAAAGCGUGGGUAGCAAACGGG